AACGAACGCUGGCGGCAGGCUUAACACAUGCAAGUCGAACGCCCCGCAAGGGGAGUGGCAGACGGGUGAGUAACGCGUGGGAAUCUACCCAGUCCUUCGGAACAACACAGGGAAACUUGUGCUAAUACCGGAUACGCCUACGGGGAAAGAUUUAUCGGGAUUGGAUGAGCCCGCGUUGGAUUAGCUAGUUGGUGAGGUAAAAGCUCACCAAGGCGACGAUCCAUAGCUGGUCUGAGAGGAUGAUCAGCCACACUGGGACUGAGACACGGCCCAGACUCCUACGGGAGGCAGCAGUGGGGAAUAUUGGACAAUGGGCGCAAGCCUGAUCCAGCCAUGCCGCGUGAGUGAUGAAGGCCUUAGGGUUGUAAAGCUCUUUCAGUGGGGACGAUAAUGACGGUACCCACAGAAGAAGCCCCGGCUAACUUCGUGCCAGCAGCCGCGGUAAUGUACAGUGU
rnacentral:rRNA from 1 species